rnacentral:rRNA from 1 species
AGCAGUCGCCGCGGUAAUACAGAGGGUGCGAGCGUUAAUCGGAUUUACUGGGCGUAAAGCGUGCGUAGGCGGCUUUUUAAGUCGGAUGUGAAAUCCCUGAGCUUAACUUAGGAAUUGCAUUCGAUACUGGGAAGCUAGAGUAUGGGAGAGGAUGGUAGAAUUCCAGGUGUAGCGGUGAAAUGCGUAGAGAUCUGGAGGAAUACCGAUGGCGAAGGCAGCCAUCUGGCCUAAUACUGACGCUGAGGUACGAAAGCAUGGGGAGCAAACAGGAUUAGAUACCCGCGUAGUCCCUGUCUCUUAUAA